rnacentral:rRNA from 1 species
CAGUAGCCGCGGGAAUACGAAGGGGGCUAGCGUUGCUCGGAAUGACUGGGCGUAAAGGGCGCGUAGGCGGAUCACGCAGUCAGAUGUGAAAUUCCUGGGCUUAACCUGGGGGCUGCAUUUGAGACGCGUGGUCUAGAGUGUGAAAGAGGGUCGUGGAAUUCCCAGUGUAGAGGUGAAAUUCGUAGAUAUUGGGAAGAACACCAGUGGCGAAGGCGACUCUCUGGUCUGUAACUGACGCUGAGGAGCGAAAGCGUGGGGAGCGAACAGGAUUAGAUACCCCCGGUAGUCCCUGUCUCUUAUA